rnacentral:misc_RNA from 1 species
GAUGAGAACGUAGCGAAAUGCGAUAAGUAAUGUGAAUUGCAGAAUUCAGUGAAUCAUCGAAUCUUUGAACGCACAUUGCGCCCGCCAGUAUUCUGGCGGGCAUGCCUGUUCGAGCGUCAUUUCAACCCUCAAGCCCAGCUUGGUGUUGGGGAUCGGCACAGGCGCCCUCGGGCGCCCGCCGUCCCCUAAAUCUAGUGGCGGUCCCGCUGCAGCCUCCUCUGCGUAGUAGUUUUCUCCUCGCAAGGGCAGCUCGGUGGCGACCUCGCCGUAAAACCCCCAACUUCUGAAAGGUUGACCUCGAAUCAGGUAGGAAUACCCGCUGAACUUAAGCAUAUCAAUAAGCGGAGGA